rnacentral:rRNA from 1 species
UUUAUGGAGAGUUUGAUCCUGGCUCAGGAUGAACGCUGGCGGCGUGCCUAAUACAUGCAAGUCGAGCGAACGGAUGAGAAGCUUGCUUCUCUGAUGUUAGCGGCGGACGGGUGAGUAACACGUGGAUAACCUACCUAUAAGACUGGGAUAACUUCGGGAAACCGGAGCUAAUACCGGAUAAUAUUUUGAACCGCAUGGUUCAAAAGUGAAAGACGGUCUUGCUGUCACUUAUAGAUGGAUCCGCGCUGCAUUAGCUAGUUGGUAAGGUAACGGCUUACCAAGGCAACGAUGCAUAGCCGACCUGAGAGGGUGAUCGGCCACACUGGAACUGAGACACGGUCCAGACUCCUACGGGAGGCAGCAGUAGGGAAUCUUCCGCAAUGGGCGAAAGCCUGACGGAGCAACGCCGCGUGAGUGAUGAAGGUCUUCGGAUCGUAAAACUCUGUUAUUAGGGAAGAACAUAUGUGUAAGUAACUGUGCACAUCUUGACGGUACCUAAUCAGAAAGCCACGGCUAACUACGUGCCAGCAGCCGCGGUAAUACGUAGGUGGCAAGCGUUAUCCGGAAUUAUUGGGCGUAAAGCGCGCGUAGGCGGUUUUUUAAGUCUGAUGUGAAAGCCCACGGCUCAACCGUGGAGGGUCAUUGGAAACUGGAAAACUUGAGUGCAGAAGAGGAAAGUGGAAUUCCAUGUGUAGCGGUGAAAUGCGCAGAGAUAUGGAGGAACACCAGUGGCGAAGGCGACUUUCUGGUCUGUAACUGACGCUGAUGUGCGAAAGCGUGGGGAUCAAACAGGAUUAGAUACCCUGGUAGUCCACGCCGUAAACGAUGAGUGCUAAGUGUUAGGG